AUAUCCCCGAACAUCAAGUUAAUACAAUGAGCCGCACAUGGAGUCCAAUACACAUGCUUGUACGCUCCUCAAUCAUGCCACCCGCUUUCUUGUUUUCACUUGCAUUAUCAGUUACCACUUGAACAACUUUUCUUGGACCAAUCUUUUCGAUGGUGUUCUGAAAUAAGGUGAACAUUUUGAUAUGGUCGGUGGAUGAGUCGCUAGCAUCAAUGGACUCAAGAAACAAACUUCCCCGGAGAGAAUUCACCAACACAUUAAUAAUCAUCUUUCCCGUUCUUGCCGUCCACUUAUCCAUCAUAAUGGAGCAGCCAUACUUGUUCCANNNN
rnacentral:lncRNA from 1 species